GAUGAACGCUGGCGGCGUGCCUAAUACAUGCAAGUCGAGCGAACAGAUGAGGAGCUUGCUCCUCUGACGUUAGCGGCGGACGGGUGAGUAACACGUGGAUAACCUACCUAUAAGACUGGGAUAACUUCGGGAAACCGGAGCUAAUACCGGAUAAUAUAUUGUACCGCAUGGUUCAAUAGUGAAAGACGCUUUUGCUGUCACUUAUAGAUGGAUCCGCGCCGCAUUAGCUAGUUGGUAAGGUAACGGCUUACCAAGGCAACGAUGCGUAGCCGACCUGAGAGGGUGAUCAGCCACACUGGAACUGAGACACGGUCCAGACUCCUACGGGAGGCAGCAGUAGGGAAUCUUCCGCAAUGGGCGAAAGCCUGACGGAGCAACGCCGCGUGAGUGAUGAAGGUCUUCGGAUCGUAAAGCUCUGUUAUUAGGGAAGAACAAAUGUGUAAGUAACUAUGCACGUCUUGACGGUACCUAAUCAGAAAGCAACGGCUAACUACGUG
rnacentral:rRNA from 1 species